UAGCCCCGGGAAACCGGGGCUAAUACCGGAUAGGUGACCUUUCUGCAUGGAGGGGUCAUGAAAGGCGGCGGACGCCGUCGCUUACGGAGGGGCCCGCGGCGCAUUACCUAGUUGGUGAGGGAAGGGCUCACCAAGGCGACGAUGCGUAGCCGGCCUGAGAGAGUGAACGGCCACACUGGGACUGAGACACGGCCCAGACUCCUGCGGGAGGCAGCAGUAGGGAAUCUUCCGCAAUGGACGGAAGUCUGACGGAGCAACCCCGCGUGAGUGAUGAAGGCCUUCGGGUCGUAAAGCUCUGUUGUUCGUGAAGAAGGGGUCGGCCAGGAUAUGGGCCGACAUUGACGGUACUUGAGAAGAAAGCCCCGGCUAACUACGUGCCAGCAGCCGCGGUAAUACGUAGGGGGCAAGCGUUGUCCGUAAUUAUUGGGAGUAAAGACGCGCGCAGGCGGUUCAUUAAGUCUGGUGUUUAACAUGGGGGGUCAUCACCGAGUCGCACCAGAAAAAGGUGGAGUUGAGUGCAGAAGAGGAAAGUAGAAUUACUCGAGUAGCGGUGAAAUGAGUAGAGAUGUGGAGGAACACCAGUGGCUAAGGCGACUUUCUGGGCUGUAACUGACGCUGAGGCGCGAAAGCGUGGGG
rnacentral:rRNA from 1 species